rnacentral:rRNA from 1 species
UACGUAGGGGGCUAGCGUUGUCCGGAAUCAUUGGGCGUAAAGCGCGUGUAGGCGGCCAGGUAGGUCCGCUGUGAAAACCCGAGGCUCAACCCCGGGACGUCGGCGGAAACCAUCUGGCUAGAGUCCGGAAGAGGAGAGUGGAAUUCCCGGUGUAGCGGUGAAAUGCGCAGAUAUCGGGAAGAACACCCGUGGCGAAGGCGGCUCUCUGGGACGGUACUGACGCUGAGACGCGAAAGCGUGGGGAGCGAACAGG